rnacentral:rRNA from 1 species
AGUUUGAUCCUGGCUCAGGAUGAACGCUAGCGACAGGCCUAACACAUGCAAGUCGAGGGGCAGCACGAAGGAAGCUUGCUUUCUUGGUGGCGACCGGCGCACGGGUGCGUAACAGGUGUGCAAUCUGUCCAUAGUCGGGGGAUAGCCCAGCGAAAGCUGAAUUAAUACUCCAUGUGAAUCGAAGCCGCAUGACUUUGAUUUGAAACGCAAGGACUAUGGGUGAGCACGCUUCUGAUUAGGUAGUUGGUGGGGUAACGGCCCACCAAGCCGACGAUCAGUAGGGGUUCUGAGAGGAAGGUCCCCCACAUUGGAACUGAGACACGGUCCAAACUCCUACGGGAGGCAGCAGUGAGGAAUAUUGGUCAAUGGGCGAGAGCCUGAACCAGCCAAGUCGCGUGAAGGAUGAAGGUUCUAUGGAUUGUAAACUUCUUUUGUCCGAGGGUAAAAAAGGUCACGUGUGACCUCUUGCAAGUAUCGGACGAAUAAGCAUCGGCUAACUCCGUGCCAGCCGCCGC